UACGGAGGGUGCGAGCGUUGUCCGGAAUCACUGGGCGUAAAGGGCGCGUAGGUGGCGCCGUAAGUCGGGUGUGAAAUUUCGGAGCUUAACUUCGAAACUGCAUUCGAUACUGCGGUGCUUGAGGACUGGAGAGGAGACUGGAAUUCAUGGUGUAGCAGUGAAAUGCGUAGAGAUCAUGAGGAAGACCAGUGGCGAAGGCGGGUCUCUGGACAGUUCCUGACGCUGAGGCACGAAGGUCAGGGGAGCAAACGGG
rnacentral:rRNA from 1 species